CCUUGCUGAAUUAUUCACCCUUGUCUUUUGCGUACUUCUUGUUUCCUUGGUGGGUUCGCCCACCACUAGGACAAACAUAAACCUUUUGUAAUUGCAAUCAGCGUCAGUAACAAAUUAAUAAUUACAACUUUCAACAACGGAUCUCUUGGUUCUGGCAUCGAUGAAGAACGCAGCGAAAUGCGAUAAGUAGUGUGAAUUGCAGAAUUCAGUGAAUCAUCGAAUCUUUGAACGCACAUUGGGCCCUUUGGUAUUCCAAAGGGCAUGCCUGUUCGAGCGUCAUUUGUACCCUCAAGCUUUGCUUGGUGUUGGGCGUCUUGUCUCUAGCUUUGCUGGAGACUCGCCUUAAAGUAAUUGGCAGCCGGCCUACUGGUUUCGGAGCGCAGCACAAGUCGCACUCUCUAUCAGCAAAGGUCUAGCAUCCAUUAAGCCUUUUUUUCAACUUUUGACCUCGGAUCAGGUAGGGAUACCCGCUGAACUUAAGCAUAU
rnacentral:rRNA from 1 species